rnacentral:tRNA from 1 species
GCCGUGGUGGUGAAACUGGUAGACACGCUGUCUUCAGGUGGCAGUGCCUUCGGGCGUGGGGGUUCGAAUCCCUCCCACGGCACCA